AAAUUCGAACACAAUCUUAAUAGGAUUAGGUGUCUCGUACGUCCAAAAGUUGCCCAUUUUGUGUCUUUUUUUGCAACUUAUCGGAGAA
ensembl:ncRNA Y38C1AA.15 ncRNA